UUCACUAACUUUGCUUUCAUUCAAGGUAACUGCAGAUCAACUCAUCAAUCGUCCGUGUCUCUUCGCUGAAUCAAGUUUAAGCAACAGAAAUGGAUAACCAACACAGAAAUGUAUAUAUUGAACAAGGUAGAGAUUUCUAGUUAAUGGAUGACAUUAAAAAAACCGUUGAGUACCUC